GAGUGAGAUUAUAUCAGUUUUAAUGCACAGGAUUUCAUCAGAACUCCACAGUUAAGUAUGCUUGGGCUAGAGUAGUAAAGAGAUGGGUGACCUCCCAGGAAGUUCUAGUGUUGCAUCCU
rnacentral:rRNA from 1 species